rnacentral:tRNA from 1 species
CAGAUAGCUCAGUUGGUAGAGCAGAGACUGAA